rnacentral:rRNA from 1 species
UACGUAGGGUGCAAGCGUUAAUCGGAAUUACUGGGCGUAAAGCGUGCGCAGGCGGUUAUAUAAGACAGAUGUGAAAUCCCCGAGCUCAACUUGGGAACUGCACUUGUGACUGCAAGACUAGAAUAUGUCAGAGGGAGGUAGAAUUCCACGUGUAGCAGUGAAAUGCGUAGAGAUGUGGAGGAAUACCAGUGGCGAAGGCGGCCUCCUGGGAUAAUAUUGACGCUCAUGUACGAAAGCGUGGGGAGCGAACAGG